rnacentral:rRNA from 1 species
AUGGCUGUCACGCAGCUUGGGAAACUGCCUGAUGGAGGGGGAUUCCUGGAAACGGGUGGUAAUGCCGGAUGUUCCACAUGAUCGCAUGUGAUUGUGGGAAAGAUUCUAUCGGCGUGGGAUGGGGCCGCGUCCUAUCAGCUUGUUGGUGAGGAAACGGCUCACCAAGGCUUCGAGGGGUAGCCGGCCUGAGAGGGCGACCGGCCACAUUGGGACUGAGAUACGGCCCAGACUCCUACGGGAGGCAGCAGUGGGGAAUAUUGCACAAUGGGCGCAAGCCUGAUGCAGCGACGCCGCGUGAGGGAUGGAGGCCUUCGGGUUGUAAACCUCUUUUGUUUGGGAGCAAGCCUUCGGGUGAGUGUACCUUUCGAAUAAGCGCCGGCUAACUACGUGCCAGCAGCCGCGGUAAUACGUAGGGCGCAAGCGUUAUCCGGAUUUAUUGGGCGUAAAGGGCUCGUAGGCGGCUCGUCGCGUCCGGUGUGAAAGUCCAUCGCUUAACGGUGGAUCUGCGCCGGGUACGGGCGGGCUGGAGUGCGGUAGGGGAGACUGGAAUUCCCGGUGUAACGGUGGAAUGUGUAGAUAUCGGGGAAGAACACCAAUGGCGAAGGCAGGUCUCUGGGCCGUCACUGACGCUGAGGAGCGAAAGCGUGGGGAGCGAACAGGAUUAGAUACCCUGGUAGUCCACGCCGUAAACGGUGGACGCUGGAUGUGGGGCACGUUCCACGUGUUCCGUGUCGGAGCUAACGCGUUAAGCGUCCCGCCUGGGGAGUACGGCCGCAAGGCUAAAACUCAAAGAAAUUGACGGGGCCCCGCACAAGCGGCGGAGCAUGCGGAUUAAUUCGAUGCAACGCGAAGAACCUUACCUGGGCUUGACAUGUUCCCGACGACGCCAGAGAUGGCGUUUCCCUAAUACCGGUGGGCGAAUGGCUCGGGGCGGGUUCACAGGUGGUGCAUGGUCGUCGUCAGCUCGUGUCGUGAGAUGUUGGGUUAAGUCCCGCAACGAGCGCAACCCUCGCCCCGUGUUGCCAGCACGUUAUGGUGGGAACUCACGGGGAGCGGUGAGACCGCCGGGGUUAACUCGGAGGAAGGUGGGGAUGACGUCAGAUCAUCAUGCCCCUUACGUCCUGGACUUCACUCAUGCUCCAAUGGCGGUUCAACGGGAUGCCACAAGGCGACCUGGCGGCGAUCUUGAAAACCCAACUCAGUUCGGAUCCGACCAGCCAACCCGGUUCCAGAAUGCGGAGUCGGUAAGUAUCGCGGAUCAGCAAUGCCGCGGUGAAUGGGUUACAAUACCGGUGGGCGAAUGGC